UCGUCGACCCCCUCUGCUUUUGUCUUUCACUUUCAUUUUCCUUCACAUUUCUUUACUUCAGCUCUCAAUUUCCCUUCAUUUCUGCCGCUCCCAUCCACUCUCUCUCUCUUAGAAUCUUCUCUACCAAUUUCCCAAGCCCACGCCCAUGAUCUCUCUCUCUCUCUCUCUCUCUCUCUCUCUCUCUCUCUCUCUCUCUGUGCUGAAUUUUUCUCUCACGGCCAGCAUCUACUUUCAUUCCCUUUUAUUUUGUUGAACGAACCUGCAACUCCACCGCUUCAUCAUUUUCGUUUCUUCUUUGCUCUCACCGCCACAUGUCCACGGAUUACUUCUCCUCAGUCGAACCAGCAAACCGAGAUUGCUCCCUUCUGCUAAUUGUUGACCAGCAACGUCCCACUUCGGCCACGAAUCCAGUCGCCCUCCUGCCAGCAGCCGCGCGUCCCAACCUUCAUCCAUCUUCGUCUGCUUCUCCUCCACCGAUUUGCACGUGGACAGCGAAGUCAGCCCAGUCCAUUCUCGUCCAUUCAGCCGCGAGCAAUUGAGCCCAGCGGCCCAUCUCCAGCGAAGUCCAGCAACGCCAAUCCACGCUUGAGUAGCCCAGCGUUUCUGUAGAUUUCAGCCCACCUUCCUUUAUUCUUUGCUCCACUUGGCCGUGUAGUUCAUUGACCGGCCCAUCCUUAGCCCGCUCAGUCACUCCACGAAGCCAGUUCAGCAGCCCAACAAAGUCCAGCCCACAAGUGCAGCAAGCCCAUCUCAGCCAAAGCCCAGCAAUUUGAAGUCUAUCAAACGCCCAGGUUUCGGCCCAGUCCAGCGAAGCCUAGUGAAAUCAUAAGCUCGCGAGUUUGAGGCCCAAGCCCAGUGUUUGCAACAAGCCUGCCCUGAGUGUCCGUCGACGCCGCCGAAAAUUUGGAUUUCGGCCACCGUCGCGUCGUCUUUGCGGUGAACCGGUUUCUACAAUAAACUAGUGAGUUUAUGCAUUAAACCCUUCUUAGUAGGCUAAUGAUGUAUAAGGGGUGUUUAGUUUAAUUUAAUUAGGAAUUAGGUGGUUAGUUAGAUUAAAUUAGUGAUUUAAUUAGUUAAUUGUGCAUGUUAUGCAGUUAGAUUAAAUUAAUCAAGGCCUAGAUAGGAUGUAUUAUUUAUCUAGAAAGGUUCUAAGUUCGUAUUGGUUUUUAAUUUAGUGAUUUUGGCCUAGGUUAGUAUUUUUAGAAUUUAAAUUGAUUUAUUUAGUUAAUUUUAGUAAUUAUUUAAUUAUUAAAUAUUUUCCAAAAAUUAGGCCGGGAUAGCUAGUGAUUAGAAUUUCAUGCGGAUUGCAAUGGUGUCAUUAAAUUCUAUAAUUAAGUGUUAAAUUGUGCAAAUUGAGUGCUCAUUUGAUUUUUGGUAUUUAAUUCCAAAAAUUGUGAAUUUCCAAUAUUUAUUUAGAAAAUCCCGGGUGUCGGAUUUUGACACCAAAAAUAGUUUUAUGUACUAUAUAAAACAGUGAGAUUUUAAAAAUGAAUGGUAUCAUAUUUUAUGGGUCGAGUUGAUCGUGUACCCACACAUGACUAUUUUAUUGGGUAUUUCUAAUACGAAGAAAACAAACCAAGAUUACCAUUUUAAUAGAGGCAUUUGAAUGCAAGGCACGGUAUCCUGGGCCCAGAUUGAAUUGUCGUGUGUUGGUUACGAGAAACUGUCCCGAGCUGUUGAGAUGGAUGUUACCCCUAUAUGGGACGCCCCUAGACAACGGAAAGUUGAUCGCAGUAGAUUAUGGACCCUAUGCUCCUUCGAGAAAGCCGUCGAUAUGGUGACGUGCUAUGCUCAAUGGGGUGAGACGAUGCCUGUCAAUGCCAGAAAACCGCCAAACAAAGAGUAGGCUGUGCUAUAUGCUGAGAUCAAAACUAGGAACGCAUGAUUAAUUGAGUGUGGCAUUCCAGUUGUUGGAACUUAUUUGUUGCUCAUGCUCUCAUGUUGUCUAUGAUAUAAAUUGUAUUAACCUGCAGGGUGGAUCUGAAAUGAGGUAAGUCUCCUUAAUUGUGUGAUUGCAUGAUUAGGAUGCUUCUAAGCGUAUUUCCCUCCUAAUCAGGGUUUAGCGUGUAAACUUGCUGAGAUUUAUAUGUCACCCCGUCGUGGGAUUAAAUUUUUUAGGGUCAUCGAGUGGAGGACCUGAAGCCGAGAGGAGGUAACCUGAAGUGUAGGUCGGUUAGGAC
rnacentral:lncRNA from 1 species